rnacentral:tRNA from 1 species
GCCGCGAUGGUGGAACUGGUAUACACGCAGGUCUCAAAAACCUGUGAGGGCAACCUCAUGUCGGUUCAAAUCCGACUCGCGGCA